CUACGGGAGGCAGCAGUGGGGAAUAUUGCACAAUGGGCGCAAGCCUGAUGCAGCAACGCCGCGUGAACGAUGAAGGUCUUCGGAUCGUAAAGUUCUUUUCUUAGGGAAGAAAAAUGACGGUACCUAAGGAAUAAGCACCGGCUAAAUACGUGCCAGCAGCCGCGGUAAUACGUAUGGUGCAAGCGUUAUCCGGAAUCACUGGGCGUAAAGGGAGCGUAGGCGGUUUUGCAAGGCAGAAGUGAAAGGCUACGGCUCAACCGGGGUAAGCUUUUGAAACUGCAAGACUAGAGUGCAGGAGAGGCAAGUGGAAUUCCUAGUGUAGAGGUGAAAUUCGUAGAUAUUAGGAGGAACACCAGUGGCGAAGGCGACUUGCUGGACUGUAACUGACGCUGAGGCUCGAAAGCGUGGGGAGCGAACAGGAUUAGAUACCCUAGUAGUC
rnacentral:rRNA from 1 species